rnacentral:rRNA from 1 species
CGGUAUUUUGACCGUGCUAAGGUAGCAUAAUCAAUUGUUUUUUAAUUGAAAACUAGCAUGAACGGUUUAAUUAAUUUAAUUAGUUUGUAAAUUUUAAUAGUAAAUUAAAUAUAAAGUAAUAAUUCUUUAAUACAUUAGGGGACGAUAAGACCCUAAAAGCUUUAUGAAAAGUAUUUAAUUGGUGUUAGUGGUAAUAUUAAUUCACUGGGGCAGUGAAUUUAUUUGUAUUAAAAAAAAAUUAAGGGGUCCUUUAAAUAAAGAUUUUAUGUGUAAGUUACUUUAGGGGUAACAGUGCAAUAUAUU